UACGGGGGGGGCAAGCGUUGUUCGGAAUUACUGGGCGUAAAGAGCUCGUAGGCGGUUCGAUAAGUCGGGUGUGAAAACUCUGGGCUCAACUCAGAGACGCCACCCGAUACUGUUGUGACUUGAGUCCGGUAGGGGAGUAUGGAAUUUCCGGUGUAGCGGUGAAAUGCGCAGAUAUCGGAAGGAACACCAGUAGCGAAGGCGGUACUCUGGGCCGAUACUGACGCUGAGGAGCGAAAGCGUGGGGAGCGAACAGG
rnacentral:rRNA from 1 species